rnacentral:rRNA from 1 species
UUCGCAAUGCCCGAAAGGGUGACGGAGCGACGCCGCGUGCGGGAAGAAGGCCUUCGGGUUGCAAACCGCUGUCGGGAGUUAAGAAAUGCAAGGAUGUUAAUAGCGUUCUUGCUUGACUAAGGCUCCGGAGGAAGCCACGGCUAACUCUGUGCCAGCAGCCGCGGUAAUACAGAGGUGGCAAGCGUUGUUCGGUAUUAUUGGGCGUAAAGAGCACGUAGGUGGUUUUGUAAGUCAGAUGUGAAAGCCUUCUGUUCAAAGGAAGAACGGCAUCUGAAACUGCGAAUCUUGAGUGUAGGAGGGGAGAGUGGAACUUCUGGUGGAGCGGUGAAAUGCGUAGAUAUCAGAAGGAACGCCGGCGGCGAAAGCGGCUCUCUGGCCCGUAACUGACGCUGAGUGUGCGAAAGCUAGGGGAGCAAACGGGAUUAGAUACCCCGGUAGUCCUAGCCGUAAACGAUGGGCACUAAGUAGAGGGGUUUU